GCCAGUAUCUAUAAUAAAGAGGUACAUACUGACUGGAAUAGUUAUUCAUUUUAUCAUAUACUAAAGGUCAUAUAAGAGACUAUACUAGAUAUCAGCUACUGAAUGAUGAAUACCUUCCAGUGUUUGGUCCUUGUUGCUGCUAUUGGAUUCAUCAUUACUACUACUACUACAGUGUCUGCUGCAGAAAAAGACACUUGCUACAGUGAUACAGAAUGCAAGGAUAAUGUAACUAAAUCUUUUGACUGCUGCAGUAUCCCUGGAAUCAAAUCUUAUGAGGUGCUUUUAUCUUUAGGUGCUUUCCACUGCUACUUGUGCAAACAGUAGUAACUGAGAGAGAGAAGUUCUGCAGAAGAAAAAACUCUGUGCUUACAAUGAAAUAAAUAUCUACUGAUAAUAAAUAAAAUAAUAAUUAUAUAAAAUAAUAUAGAACUGAUAAUUAAGUUAAAUGAAAACAAAUUUUGUUAGGGUUUGAUGAAUUCAGCCACAUAGCUAUAGACCAUAA